rnacentral:rRNA from 1 species
UACGUAGGGAGCAAGCGUUAAUCGGAAUUACUGGGCGUAAAGCGUGCGCAGGCGGUUUUGUAAGUCUGACGUGAAAUCCCCGGGCUCAACCUGGGAAUUGCGUUGGAGACUGCAAGGCUAGAAUCUGGCAGAGGGGGGUAGAAUUCCACGUGUAGCAGUGAAAUGCGUAGAGAUGUGGAGGAACACCGAUGGCGAAGGCAGCCCCCUGGGUCAAGAUUGACGCUCAUGCACGAAAGCGUGGGGAGCAAACAGG